UGGAUUGGACUCUCUGUUCUGGCUCUUUGCUCACCCAUCCAUUUUUUUUUUUUUUGUUUUUUUUCUUGGUUUUGGCUUCGG
rnacentral:ribozyme from 1 species